AGUGAACGCUGGCGGUAGGCCUAACACAUGCCAGUCGAACGGCAGCACAGUAAGAGCUUGCUCUUACGGGUGGCGAGUGGCGGACGGGUGAGGAAUACAUCGGAAUCUACUUUUUCGUGGGGGAUAACGUAGGGAAACUUACGCUAAUACCGCAUACGACCUACGGGUGAAAGCAGGGGAUCUUCGGACCUUGCGCGAUUGAAUGAGCCGAUGUCGGAUUAGCUAGGUGGCGGGGUAAAGGCCCACCAAGGCGACGAUCCGUAGCUGGUCUGAGAGGAUGAUCAGCCACACUGGAACUGGGACACGGUCCAGACUCCUACGGGAGGCAGCAGUGGGGAAUAUUGGACAAUGGGCGCAAGCCUGAUCCAGCCAUACCGCGUGGGUGAAGAAGGCCUUCGGGUUGUAAAGCCCUUUUGUUGGGAAAGAAAAGCAGCAGGUUAAUACCCCGCUGUUCUGACGGUACCCAAAGAAUAAGCACCGGCUAACUUCGUG
rnacentral:rRNA from 1 species